CUAAGGUUUCAUAACCCUAGCCUCGCCACCCUACCCCUCCUUCUAUCUUCUUGUCUUAUCGCCGGUAUAGGCAUGCCUACGAUCGUAUUAGGCGUGUAAGGCACGGUUGUGGCAGAGAAAAGGAUGAAGCAUUUAUGGCUUCAUCGUUUUCACGAUUUUCUCCACCAAAAUUCAUCCAAACACCUCAUGAAAGUGUGGGAAUUGGAAGCACAAAGGCUCCAAGUUCAUUCUUGUUCAUGGCUGCGCACCAAAAAGAUUAGCUUAGAUUAAAUAUUUGAGGAAUCAUUACUAGGAAUUAAGAUUGAUCCAAGAUUAUUUAUCUGAUUGCUUACAUGAUAUGCUUCUGUAAUCCAUUUUCCUGCAAGUCUUGAGUGUACAUAUAUGUAUGGAUUGGCAUUGGCUCUAGUUAGUAGGUAAGAUUGUUAUAUGCUGGGAUUUGUAAAAGGAAUGUGAGCUAAGCCAUUAUUUCUAAAUGUAAGCCUUAAGUUACAAAACUCUUCCAAGGCUCUUCUCUGAAACGAAUCAGUGCAAUGCUCAAAGUGGAAAUGUUCCUGCUGUGUCCAUUCUUGAGUUGUUUUGUACUUCUGAUUUGAAUUCUAAGUAUUUUCUUACAUGGUUAGAAUCACUACUUGACUGUUUGCCUUUCUGCAUCUCUGAGAAUACCCUCCCUAUGUGCUGAAUUACCAUUGCUUGCUAAUCUAGUUGUGUGCAUCUCUGGGACUGGGUUGAAUAGAGCUUAUGACAUGGCAUGACCUGUAGGGAGUUUAGACCUAUUUGUGUUGAUUCUGUGAAGUUAAAAGGACCUGAGUAACCUGCUAAUGGCAAGCUAACCCAUGCUAUGACUCUAAAUAACUCAAUGAAACCUUGAGGAGGUUGAGAAAUGGUUAUGACCCUAACUUAAAUGAUCAUGUAUGUUUAUAUGUGCAUGUAUUUGAAACUUUUUGGAUUGAAUUCUUAGCUGUGAAUAGUUUGAGAAACAAAUUUCCACAUGAUCACAAGGGACUGAAAGUGCGUUAACCACAUAACCUAAGAUGAGCCUUUUUAAAAAGUUCCCUAGAGAAAGGAAUAAGGGAGAACCAAGCCUAGCUUGGUUCAUAACACCUUUCCUUCAUAUAAAGGGAAACAUGUCACAUCUACGACAUGUGGGCUUGUAUGCUCAUUGUAAAGGACCUUAGGAUCACAUGGAUUCUAUUCUUUGGACCAAAAGAGACCCCAAGAGUUAAGUAUACAUUUAGGAAUGAUUGAUGGUUUGAUUAAAUAAGGAGUUUAAGUAUGCAUAUGUGUUUAAUUUAGGCACAAAAGGAAAGCUUAACAUAGAUAUGAAACUGGGAUGUUAAAUAUUGAAUCAUUAAAGGUCAUUAGGGACAUGAGAUCCUUUUCUGCAAGAACUCUGCCAACGAAGCAUGUUUGUCUUUUCUUUGAACCCUUUCCCUUUUUUUUCUGAGUUUAUAAUUCCUGCAUGAAUCUUACAUAUCCUUGCCACAUAUUGUCAUCCUUAUGUUAAGCUCAACUGGACCUUAAAAGAUGUAAUACUUUACCCUUUCCAUGCCCCUAGACUUGUUUAUAUUUUUUCUUGUCCAUGUCGCGUUUGCUUGUCCAAAGAGCACUACUAUCUCGACAUGAUACCAUGUCUUGUAUACAAUAACCUAGACACAGAAAAGUUUUAGUUCUUCCUCUGCAAUGCAUUCGUUUACUUGUGCCAUGAGUCUCAUGUCCGGUGUGUCUCAUUUUCUAAUCAACAUGUUACUGUUUCUCAUAGCACCCCAUUUUGUGUCUGAUAUGUUGGAUGAGAUAAAUGAUCCUCCCAUGCCUGCAUCACUUUGAGUUUUGAAUUUAUCCUCGAGUCUAAAUUAAAUCGACUACUAUACCGAACAUGCUAGAAUUUGGGUAUUGGAGUCCACGUAGGACUAUAUGACUUAUUUGGUUUGGAGGGUUUGUUUGAAUGGUCUAUGUCUAAGUAUGGUCUUUGUGCAAAUUAGGAGUCAUGUCUGGUGCAAAGGGCAAGAUCUCGCCAAUCAAUUGAGAUAAGAGCCUUAGAACCUAUUUAGGGAUGAAUAUACAUAUGGAGUAUACCUUAGGUCCUUAGAAAAGGGAGAGUAUACACCAAAUAUACACCUGGUGUAGACAUGUUAUACGACUUAAUGUGUAUAUCUAGGAUAUAUCGUGUCUAAAAGGAGGAGAAUCUCAUUCAGUUUCAAUUGCAAGCUUAGUGUUCAACUAGAGCUUUAGAAUCGACCUGGCCCAGUGCAAGUUUUGCAAGGUAGAGGCAAACCUAAAAACCUUAAGAAAAAAUAAAGAGGGCUCAAGUAUUUUAUCUCCAGUACUUAGCCUUGGGCUGUAGAGGCCCAAUGUUAUAUAUUCACAUUGUUCCUGAUUAUUCAAUAUGCAUAUAUAUAUGUGUGUAUUGUACAUUUAUACUUAUAUGAGUGAUAAGUAUGAAAAAUUAUAAACUAACUAGGUCCCUCUUUUUUUUUCUCAUCCUCCUCACCGCAUGGCCACUUUGGGCCGAGACUCGUAACUUGUCCCAAAGGCCCAACCGGCGAAUUCUUUCAAUAUAAAUCGAGUCCGAAGAAGAAUAAAAAUGGAAGCAAAUAUUAUAUGCAUAGAAGGCCCUGCCAUGGGUGAAAAGGGCCAACAAGGGGCUUGGUACGCCCCUAGCCUUCCCUCCUUUUAUUGUCAUUUGUUUAUUUUGCUUUCUUUAAAGUGCAAUUUUGUUGUAUACUUGUAUUUUGCACAAAGUGUUAAAAAACUCAGACACAUAUAUUGGAAUCUUUAUUAUUUGAA